rnacentral:lncRNA from 1 species
UUUGGCUGCGAUCUGGCUGCGAGUGUGUAGUUAUGUGUCUGGGAUGAUAUCUUGGGCCUUAUCUGUGAGUGGCCGAGAUGCGGGAGACCCAAGGCGGCCAUGGUGCUGGCCGCAGGCCGUCAAUUAUGCAAGAGCGCGGUGAAGGGUAGCGCGCCGGCCUACAUGUAAAGCCGAUAUGGUGUUGGGAGGCGCCACGCCAAGUUCGCCACCGCAGGGUCAGAUGGAAAUGCCGGAACCUGUUGAACAGUGGAAGAAGUGUUAAGGUAAGAUUCAUUUUUGUGGUGUUUGCGCGGUUCUGGGUAGUGAGUGGGCCUUAACUGUUGGGUGCAGUUUGCUCUUGUACGAACAUUAACACAAGUAAACAGCCCGUAGUAUAGUCACGGAUAUUCUGUAAUGGACCUUCUUUUUUCUCCUUGCAGGUACUGUAUUGGUUGAGAUCGUCUGGUCAGUCACCUCACAGGGAAUCUUUGCUUUUAAUUUUUGGAAGUUGAAUAUUUUCUAUUAAAUAAAAGAUGUUUUGUGUGU